rnacentral:rRNA from 1 species
GACGAACGCUGGCGGCGUGCCUAAUACGUGCAAGUUGAGCGCUGAAGGUUGGUACUUGUACCAACUGGAUGAGCAGCGAACGGGUGAGUAACGCGUGGGGAAUCUGCCUUUGAGCGGGGGACAACAUUUGGAAACGAAUGCUAAUACCGCAUAAAAACUUUAAACACAAGUUUUAAGUUUGAAAGAUGCAAUUGCAUCACUCAAAGAUGAUCCCGCGUUGUAUUAGCUAGUUGGUGAGGUAAAGGCUCACCAAGGCGAUGAUACAUAGCCGACCUGAGAGGGUGAUCGGCCACAUUGGGACUGAGACACGGCCCAAACUCCUACGGGAGGCAGCAGUAGGGAAUCUUCGGCAAUGGACGAAAGUCUGACCGAGCAACGCCGCGUGAGUGAAGAAGGUUUUCGGAUCGUAAAACUCUGUUGGUAGAGAAGAACGUUGGUGAGAGUGGAAAGCUCAUCAAGUGACGGUAACUACCCAGAAAGGGACGGCUAACUACGUG